UGCGAUAGCUCAUUUGGGAGAGCAUAAGACUCUUAAUCUCAGGGUCAUGAGUUCGAGCAUCAUGUCGAGCAA